AUGGUGCUCUCACUUUCAGGGCUCUGUACACGUUGGCAGAGACACACCUGGCGGGGAGACAGUCGGCACCUGGAGACCUCAGGUGUGGUGAGACAAUGCAGAGGGUGGAGGGUGUUAUGUCCAGCCCUGAGUAUUAAGUUAAGUUGGCGGGCUAUUUAUAAUUCUUCGGUUAUGUGUUAUUGUUUACUCACCUCUCGUUUCAGAUUCCUCACUCCCUCCCUCAGGUGUGUGGGUUCCACCUGGGUGAUUGUCAGCCCCUCCCUGAUUGUUUGCACCUGGCCCUCAUCACCCGGUGUAUUUAGUCUGUGGGUUCCUGUCCUCUGUCGCCAGUUCGUCUUUGAUACAAUGUUCCUAGCGUUCCAGCAUUUACUCCUGAUAGCCUCCCUGUUACCGACCCCUGCCUGGUUAACGCGUUACGUCUCUGCCUUUUCCCUGCCGGAUACCUUGCCUGGUGAUCGACUGCCUGCCCAUGUACCGACCUUGGACCGGAACGUUUACGACCUUUGCACCUACCUGCCUCCUGUCGGAUUCUUACACCCGUGUUUGUACUGCCAUCCAACAGUAAAAUUGGUUUACUGCACCUUCUUGUGUCUCCGAGUCGUGCAAUUGAACCCACACACUUGUCUGCACCCUUUACAGAGGGAGGGAGGGAGGAACUGUGCUCAAGUGGAAGACCAUCAGAAAACCCGAGGUCCCCCGAUGCACAGGAUAAAACCGCACGGAAGAAUCGGGGCGCGGUGGCCCUUGAUGCCGUCCACUUGUGCGCACACAGCCUGCACGGACUCUGCCGUGCAGGCGCUCGCCAUCCACCAGAUACAAGUGCAUUGCAGACGCCCCCACGGGCGGAGACAGGCGUGCAAAAUGCAAUCCCCCACAUGUCGACGGGGCGCCACCAACGCUACUCUAACUCACCUUGGCUGGUGCGAGGAGUCUUGGCAGUUGAUAGGAGGAGGAAGUAGGAGGGAGAAAGUAGGAAGGAGAGGAGCAGAUUGUGUCACUCAGCUUCACAAGGCCGGGUCGGAUGUCCAGCCCCCCGUGUGCCAUAAAGAAUGGUUCUUUAAAAGGCUGCGUCGAUCCACAAAGAAAUGUGACUGA
ensembl:lncRNA